rnacentral:lncRNA from 1 species
GUCAAACAUAGUCUAUUUUGCUGUCAAUACUGUUGAUGGUGUCCUUUAUCAGUAGGCUUUAUAUUUAUGCUUAACAUGAAGGUGUAGGUGUAUAAAAAAAUUUUUGAAAUUGUUGUCAUGAAGUCAAGAUCCUGGUCUGUCGGCGGUCUCCCUCUAUGUCCCCUACAGCAGCAGCGCGUCAGGCAUGAAUCUGGUGUGACAGAAAACACGCAGCGGUCGCCACGCAACUGACACGCAGCAGAAACGCCACGCUCACGCCAUGCAUCCAGUGUGUCACCGACAGUCCUGCUCGAGACAUUUUCUUUUUCUCUGAAAUACUUCAAGUUCAAAUAUCAGGACGUCACGACUUCGACUGAUGGAAAAUUAUUCGUUUAAGAAACUGAGUCUGUGAACAUAUAACGACAUUCAGAAUCACAAUCAUGAAUGCUGUAAAUACUGUGCAGCUGUUCAUUCUGGUUUGGACCUUUACUGCUGUCUGUCAAGCUGAUGAUGAUAUCAGUGUAAGCUGUGAUGAUGUGACUGGAUCUGUGGGGAAAGAAAUGAAUCUCACCUGCAGCGUCUCUCUGAAGAUCACUGAAUGCUGCAUUAUAAUGUAUAAGUUUCAAUACCCUGAGAUCUAUGAUGGCUCUGCAAUUUGUCGUCAAGAUGUUUCUGUGAACCCCUGUAAACGGAGAAACAGUUUCACAUGCCUCUUCACUCCAACUACAGCAAUGACAAAACAAUUCAGAUUCUUUGUGCAAACAAACUGUGGAGUGAAAAAAGAAGACAUUCUUACUAUUGAAGCAUCAGAACAUGUGAACCCAGAAAACCCAGAAAACCCAUCAGGAUUCAAGAAUAAUACGAUCACUGUGGUUGUGCUUGGUUUCAUCAUCGUCAUCUUCAUCAUCAUGAUGGCGAUCAUUUACAAAACAAAACUGAACUUCACCAAAUUUUGUAGACGAGUCAGACAUGAUGAGGACAAUCGUCGAGAAAUUGAGAUAUUAUAG